GGAGGGGGUUGAUCCCUGCAGGCGUUUUGGGGAGGGGUCUUGGAGGCCCUGGGCUGCUUGUUUGCCUUAACCCGAAGCCCACAUGUCGCCAUUGCGGUGGUGGAUCUCCUGCAGGAGCUCACGGACAUCGACACCCUGCACGAAAGCGAGGAAGGGGCCGGGGUCCUCAUAGACGCCUUGGUGGACGGGCAGGUGGUAGCGUUGCUGGUGCAGAAUCUGGAGCGUCUGGAUGAAAGCGUAAAGGAAGAGGCCGACGGCGUUCAUAAUACUCUGGCUAUCAUUGAGAACAUGGCAGAGUUUCGGCUGGAGGUGUGUGCAGAUGCCGCCCAGCAGGGCCUCAUGCAGUGGCUUCUCAAGAGGUUGAAGGCCAAGAUGCCUUUUGAUGCCAACAAGCUCUACUGCAGCGAAGUGCUGGCCAUUCUCCUCCAGAACACGGACGACAACCGGGAGAUGCUGGGGGAGCUGGAUGGGAUCGACGUCCUGCUUCAGCAAUUGUCGGU